CCCCGGCAGGUGGGCCGGCGGCCUGACUCCAGAGCAGGAUUUGCAGAUGAAAGUCGAGGCUGCUGUUGCUGGUGCAACCGUGGAAAUGAGCUCUCGGUCCAGAAGGACCCCCUGCCAGAUAAGACCUUGUCACAACAGCUGGCGCGCUGUGCAAAGCCCCCGUGCCGCUCCGGCUUUCAAAGAUGCCGAGCAGCUGCGAAUGCCGCGGGAGUCUCUGUGGCCUGCCUGCGCCUGGCACCUUUGAAAAGCGGGACCCUGCGGCACGGUGAAACGCUCUUCAUCUCGGCUUCAAAACCUGCAGCAGAAAGGGAAUUCAUUUCCAGCGGGAGCGCAGCGAGCUCGCGGCCCUGCACAGAUCUGCGCGUGCAGGGGGGAGCGAUCAAGCGGCACGCUCAGGCAGAGGCGCAAACCCAGGCGGAGGAUGUCGAACAAGCCCCGAGCACAGCUGGCACCACGGCCGUGCCCAUGCGGGCCGCGCGCCCCUCUCCGCGCACAGCGAGACAGCCGUGCAGCACAGCUGCCUGUUUCCCACGCCGGCUGCCGAGCCAGAGCCCGUGGUGGCAGGAACAAAAGGCAAACGCGGUGUUAGCUGGAGGGAGCCCUCCCCUCCUCUGGGUGAUUUCAACGGCAAACAACCUUGGUGUCUGGGGGUCCUUUUUAUUUCCCUUUUAUUUCAUCUCCCACGGAGUGGCAGCAGGGCAUCCCGGGGGGGCCGUGCACUUUGUUGGUUGAAGCCGCAGCGCUCCUCUGAGAGUCUGCGUUUGCUGCCGUUUGAAAGCAGCACGCACAAAAGGUGACGGCGUGCGCACCCGUCGCCAGGCCGGCCCCGCGCUGCGUCAGGCAGCACGAAAUCCGCGUGGAUCCAAGUAACUGGGGGAAAUCGCUGUUAAGCCAGGCAACGAGCUGAACCUGCUUCGGGUUUCAUGGCCUGUCAUGUGGUUCAUUACACCAUAAGGCGCUGCUCGUGCUCGGGGUUGUAUAAGGAACGAGCUAAAUUCAUUUGUCAAAUGGAGACCGCGGGCCGGGUUCGAGGAGCGUCACAUUAGUCCCGCGGCAGCGAAUGCCAGUUUGCAUUAGCCUGAUUAGAUUUAAAAGCAGAUUCUGACAUCAGGCGCGUCUUCACAGACCUGCAGAUCCAGAACUGACUCCAAGAAGAUUGGAAAUACAUUGCAGGGGCAACUUGAAAUGGUUUCGUGCAAUAUAAAAGUGUCGUUGCUGCUGCUAAGCGGGAGCCGUGUUGUGCUGCAGGGCAAUGCAGGAUGAUUCACGGGUUCGGAGGCGCUUCUCCCGCGGCCCCCAAGGGACGCCCAAGACUUUGUUUCAUUUGCCGGUGAAGCCUCUUUCUCCUUCUUGGUUCAAUCCUGCCAAGGGCUGAGCCCCUCCCUGGGAUCUGCGUUAUCCUCCAGCCCCAGGGAGGACUUGGGGCUGGCGACACCGGGGCUGUCUGCACCUCCCGGGUCGAGGCUUCCAGCCAGGGGCCGUGACCGGGCGUGAAGUCUGGAGGCAGCUGCGACGAGGCCGUGUGGUGGGGCCUGAGCUCGGGCAGCGGUGAUGCUCCCCGUCCUGGCCGGCCGCCUUGCAGGAGGAGCCGUCCGUCAAUGUCGAAGCCCCCGUAAGGGCGCCCAUCUCACCCCCGCCGUGUUCGUGGCCCCUCCUGGCACCCCUGACUGCACCCGGGGUGGCGCAGCUAGUGGCAUUGAAUUACCCACCGUCAACUCGCCCGUGCUCUUUUCACAGGGCCUUUCCCCAGAGACCAAAGAGCGUCGAGAGAUCCCCGCCAGCGCGUCGUGAUCCACCUGCCGCAGGGCCUGGGGCUGGGCAGGGGAAGCAGCUCCCCACUUGCCCCCCGAUGAAGCACCGUGGCCCACCCUGGUGCCCCACAGCAGCAGCCGAGCGGUGCCAUGGGACUCGGGCGCUGAGCCGGGUCCCUUCCCCGUGCUCUGAGGACAGCUCGCAGCUCGCAGCGCCGACGGGCUGAGCACCCCCACGUGCUCCGGGGCAGGUCCCACGUGUGACUGUGGGACCCCACCGGGCCACGCCGCCCUGCUCGUCCCAUCCCUAGAGGUUUCUUUUUGAUGUGGGCAUCGUCCCGGAUCCCGGGAGGAGACGCUGAGCAACGGGAGAAGAAGAGACUCCGUGCCUGCAGCUCCGGACACGGAGCCACGAGAGACUCCUGGCCCUGCCACAGCCCCCAGGCCCGCGGCUGCCCCCCGCCUCAGCUCGGUUUCCAGCAGUCCCUUUGCUGUGUGCUCCACCGUGCCCGUGCGCCCAGCUACAUGUGUCUGCAUUUGUAAUGUGCUAAUUUGACAGAGGAAUUAUUUUCUAUCUGACUGGAUGAUUCAUUGUGCUGGAAAAUCUGGUACUUUAUGGUUCAGAGACUGGAAAUGGAGAAUUCAUCCUCCUGAAACCAAACCGCCGAGCUGCACCCUCCUCCAACACGUCUGUGUGUGUGUCGCCCUGCACCUGAUGGCAGAACAUCUCCGUCUGAACUUGAACCCACGGCACUGAAUAAUAAACCGUUGUAGCAGCU